GUCUUGANNUCCUUUGACNNCUCGAGAGANCGAGCUUUCCCUUCGGGGACAAAGUGACAGGUGGUGCAUGGUUGUCGUCAGCUCGUGUCGUGAGAUGUUGGGUUAAGUCCCGCAACGAGCGCAACCCUUAUUACUAGUUGCCAGCAUUCAGUUGGGCACUCUAGUGAGACUGCCGGUGACAAACCGGAGGAAGGUGGGGAUGACGUCAAAUCAUCAUGCCCCUUAUGACCUGGGCUACACACGUGCUACAAUGGAUGGUACAACGAGUCGCGAAGUCGUGAGGCCAAGCUAAUCUCUUAAAGCCAUUCUCAGUUCGGAUUGUAGGCUGCAACUCGCCUACAUGAAGCCGGAAUCGCUAGUAAUCGCGGAUCAGAACGCCGCGGUGAAUACGUUCCCG
rnacentral:rRNA from 1 species